CCUACGGGUGGCAGCAGUGGGGAAUAUUGCGCAAUGGGCGCAAGCCUGACGCAGCGACGCCGCGUGAGUGAUGAAGGCCUUCGGGUUGUAAAGCUCUUUCGGUAGCGAAGAAGGGAUAUAGUUUUAUACACUAGUGGAUUGACGUUAACUACAGAGGAAGCACCGGCUAACUCCGUGCCAGCAGCCGCGGUAAUACGGAGGGUGCGAGCGUUAAUCGGAAUGACUGGGCGUAAAGGGCACGCAGGCGGUAUGUCAAGUGAGGUGUGAAAGCCCCGGGCUUAACCUGGGAAGUGCAUUUGAUACUGGGGCGCUGGAGUACAUGAGGGAGAGGUAGAAUUCGAGGUGUAGGGGUGAAAUGCGUAGAUAUGUGGAGGAACACCGAUGGCGAAGGCAGCUAAGU
rnacentral:rRNA from 1 species